GGCGGGGUAGCUCAGCCCGGUUAGAGCAAUCGCUUCAUAAGCGAGAGGUCGAGGGUUCAACUCCCUCCCCCGCCACAA
rnacentral:tRNA from 1 species